rnacentral:lncRNA from 13 species
GGCUAUUCAUGUGAGAUGUACUGGAAUUAAUUCUCUAUGACCUCCUUUCUAGGCUCUGCUAAACAGUAAUCCCUCUGUGGGACUAUUUUAGAGGGACUGCUCAGAAUCUCCAGUCUUCCAGGGUCAGGCCUGCUAGGGCUCUUUGUUCAGUUUCCCUCUGCCCAAGGACCAGGUAGAGCUCUUUCUUCCACCUUCCUGCACUGACAAGUCAGAUAUUAAUAAGGAUCUUGAGAUGAAAUCAUACUGGAUUAUCCUAGUACACCCUAAAUCUGUAAAUAAGACUAUUUGAAGAUGGAAGCAGAGCUUGCAGUUAUGCAGCUACAAGACAAAGAAUGCCUUGAGCACCAGCAGCUGAAAGAGGAGUAUUCCCAACACCUGCCCCCAUCAGGGAGAAAACUGAUCAGGAGGCACCAUCCCUUUCCACACCAUUCUUGAAUCUAUUCUACAGAACUCCCUCACCUCAUCUAGCAAUGUAUUUAAGGUAGAAUAUCUUUUUCUAUCCAUAUUUCUU